UGGGGAAUCUUGGACAAUGGGCGCAAGCCUGAUCCAGCCAUGCCGCGUGAGUGAAGAAGGCCUUCGGGUUGUAAACCGCUUUUGUCAGGGAAGAAACGCUCUGGGCUAAUACCCUGGGGUAAUGACGGUACCUGAAGAAUAAGCACCGGCUAACUACGUGCCAGCAGCCGCGGUAAUACGUAGGGUGCAAGCGUUAAUCGGAAUUACUGGGCGUAAAGCGUGCGCAGGCGGUUAUGCAAGACAGAUGUGAAAUCCCCGGGCUCAACCUGGGAACUGCAUUUGUGACUGUAUAGCUAGAGUACGGUAGAGGGGGAUGGAAUUCCGCGUGUAGCAGUGAAAUGCGUAGAUAUGCGGAGGAACACCGAUGGCGAAGGCAAUCCCCUGGACCUGUACUGACGCUCAUGCACGAAAGCGUGGGGAGCAAACAGGAUUAGAUACCCCUGUAGUCCCUGAGCGGGCUGGCAAGGCGCAU
rnacentral:rRNA from 1 species